AGUGUUGCAUGGCUGUGGGACCCCUUUGCUUUUGGGGUUCAGAAGCCCAGCUGAUGGUCCAUACACAAGCAACCUGGCCUCUCUCCAGACACUGAUGUGUUUUACACGGACAGCGCGUCUCCAGUGGCCACCGCCUGCCGUGUGGGACGGUGCGCGUACAGGCGGACGAAUGGGGACUUAGACAUGACCGUGCCCGCUUGCCCGAUAUCACGCAGCCGCGGCCCUCCGGGCCGGCGUGACACGGAGGAGUGCACCGAUCGCGAUUGUACUUUAUUUUUAGGCUCCUUCCGAAACAGUCCUUAUCUCAAGGAGGUGUUUUUGUUUUCCAGUU